AAAAGUUGAUUUUCUCUUCGCAGUACUUUGGUUUGGUACGUGCGUCCAACUUUGGAUACCAUGCUACCUCGGAACUUUGAUGAGAGAUAAAGGGUUCGCAAUGGCAGAUGCGUGUUGGUAUUCUGGUUGGUCAAAUACUAAGCUGAGUGUUAUGUUACGAAACGAAAUAGUUUUAUUCAUAUCACAGACACAGCAACCUCUCAUUAUUAAGUUUACUGCGCUGCCUACCCUAACGCUCGAAACAUUCUCUUCGAUUAUGAGCUCGUCCUACUCGUAUUUCAACAUGCUACGCCAGUCAACUAAAGACCGAAUAUAAG